AGGGACAGUAGGUCUAUACAACAUGGAGAGGGACAGUAGGUCUAUACAACAUGGAGAAGGACAGUAGAUCUAUACGGUAUGAAGAGGCACAGUAGGUCUAUACAACAUGGAGAGGGACAGUAGGUCUAUACGGUAUGGAUAGGGACAGUAGGUCUAUACAACAUGGAGAGGGACAGUAGGUCUAUACAACAUGGAGAGGGACAGUAGGUCUAUACAACAUGGAGAGGGACAGUAGGUCUAUACAACAUGGAGAGGGACAGUAGGUCUAUACGGUAUGGAGUGGGACAGUAGAUCUAUACGGUAUGAAGAGGGACAGUAGGUCUAUACAACAUGGAGAGGGGCAGUAGGUCUAUACAACAUGGAGAGGGACAGUAGAUCUAUACAACAUGGAGAGGGACAGUAGGUCUAUACAACAUGGAGAGGGACAGUAGGUCUAUACAACAUGGAGAGGGACAGUAGGUCUAUACAACAUGGAGAGGGACAGUAGGUCUAUACAACAUGGAGAGGGACAGUAGGUCUAUACAACAUGGAGAGGGACAGUAGGUCUAUACAACAUGGAGAGGGGCAGUAGGUCUAUACAACAUGGAGAGGGACAGUAGAUCUAUACGGUAUGAAGAGGGACAGUAGGUCUAUACAACAUGGAGAGGGACAGUAGGUCUAUACAUUAUGGAGAGGGACAGUAGAUCUAUACAGUAUGGAGAGGGACAGUAGGUCUAUACAUCAUGGAGAG